GGAAAAAAAAACUGGAGAUAGGUUGGGCAUCUGGAUUUCUGGCUUUCUGGGCAAACAAAGAUAAGGAAGCAAAUUACCUUUUUUUUGUCCCUCACAUCAGAGUGCAUGAAGCAACCAGCUUUAAAGCCAUGACACCAGUAUCACUUUGCAUACAAGUAAAAAAAGAAGAAGAAGGGCCCUAGCUAGUCGUCGUGUUGCCCAUAGCAGUGGCAAAUAAAAAGUGAAGCAUAUGCAUAAUGCAUUGCCUUUUCAUUUCGCUCACCACUUUCUUAUUCCCUUUGAGCAGGAUAAGCUCAUCAGGAUGCUGCUGCUAAUCAGGUAAAAGAGCAUGGGAUUUGUUCUAAUGACAAAUGUGGAGCUGCUAACCACACGCUUUUAAGGUUUUCUUUUCCGUUGGCCUGAUUCACGGUGGAUUGGUUUACGCAGAAAGCGCGUUGAGGCGUCGGGAUCCGGAAUAACUUGUUCAGUGGCUCGAGGAAGAGAGCCUGAUGCUUCUAGAAAUACUUUUUUUUUCUUUAUCGUUUGAAUUGCCUCUGAAAUUACAAAGGGUUUAAGAUAAUUUAGUUUCCAUUGCCAGUCCCCAUUUUUCCACUUAUAGUCUCAAAUGAUACUAAUUAGUUGUUUGAAGGUGUUUAACUUUUGUGAAAUGUCAGUACAUGUUUGAGGCUUUUAGUUUGUCAGUACAUGUCAGUACAUGUUUGAGGCUUUUAGUUUGUAAGUUAUAUACUCCCUCCGUCCAGAAAAGGAUGUCUCAAAUUUAUUUAAAUUUGAAUGUACCUAGACAUUAAAACAUGUCUAAAUACAUCCAUAUUUUAAAAAAUUUGCGACAUCCUUUUUAGGACGGAGGUAUUACAUACAAAAUAACUUUGAAGACGAGGCCAAUUCAUAGUUGAUCCCACGGUUCAAAAACAUGAGUGGUACUUGCUUUUCGUACAUUAUUUAUUUAUUUAUUUAUGACUAGACAAACUUAGUUUGUAUAUAACCAUACAAAAUUCUACCCUAAUCAGGUUCUAACCCUCAAAAUAAGAGCUCUUUUACGGUACCCCGGAUUUAAUAUAAGCCGUUCAUUUGUUCAAAUCCACCGGUUAGUAUUAUUUGGUACUCCAUCCUUAAGUUAGGGAGUACCAGGUCAAAAACCACCGGAAUACCACAAGCUGAGGACAAAGUCGUAAUUGUCUAAGGUAUUUUAGUUUUUCCCCGUGCUCAACUCGAUUAAAAAAAAAUGCUUCGUGCUCCAUGGAGCGGACGAGGUCAUCGCGCCAUUGGAGCAGUUGAAGGCACUUCUCUGGCAGCAGAGGGCCGAGGCCGUUUCGCCAGCAGGGCCCCGAUUGAGCGGACGACGACGGCGCUCGAAGGGCCGCUGCGCCAGAGGGGACGAGGCAGUUGCGCCGGCGGGAUGGACAAGGCUGCCGCGUUCGAUGGGGCUCGCCGUGCCGCCAUAUUAGGGGGCGGAGGGGACGUCCGGCGAGCCAACGCUAGCGAUGGCGCCCUCGAGCGCGCGGAGAAUAGGCGGCCCAGGCGGCAGUCGGUGGUCCGGACGGCGACGACGACCGUCGAUCGAUCUGUCUGGGGGCGGCGGCGCGACUCAAUUGGAACUGCCGUGAGCACUUUCAGCGCCUGGAAAAGACAUAUUUCGGCCGGCAAUCCGACGGCGAGCAGACAGCGACGACGAGGUUGAUCAUGAUAUCGGGGGAAGCGCUGAUGCUCGAUGGAGAGAACUGGGGUACUGCGCUGCGGCUCGAUUGGCGCUUUCCAGCGCUCCAGACGGCGAGCGGACGGUGAGAGCGGGCUGGCGGCGGCUGCCCGGCGGCACAGCUGCUCGAUGGAGAUGCGAUAUCCAGAGCGCACCCGACGCGACCAAGAUGACAUGAGAUGAAAAAUUAACAAAUGACUAAGUUACCCUUCGUUACUAGCGGUCAGAUAUGGUUGGUACUCCAAGGUAUGUUUUUGGAGCACCGGAGUACUGUAAAAGUCGUCCAAAAUAAAGUUGAAAUUCGUUA